rnacentral:rRNA from 1 species
UACGUAGGGUGCAAGCGUUGUCCGGAAUUAUUGGGCGUAAAGAGCUCGUAGGCGGCCUGUUGCGUCCGCUGUGAAAGCCCGGGGCUUAACCCCGGGUCGGCAGUGGAUACGGGCAGGCUAGAGGUAGGUAGGGGAGAAUGGAAUUCCCGGUGUAGCGGUGAAAUGCGCAGAUAUCGGGAGGAACACCGGUGGCGAAGGCGGUUCUCUGGGCCUUACCUGACGCUGAGGAGCGAAAGCGUGGGGAGCGAACAGG